AAUAGUUUUCGGAGCAAUAAGUUUCUUACGAAGCGUGUCAGGACCUGACGGUAGCAGCACUAAGUAUGGAACUUAUGUG
rnacentral:SRP_RNA from 1 species